UACAGAGGGUGCAAGCGUUAUUCGGAAUUACUGGGCAUAAAGAGCGCGUAGGCGGUCUGAUAAGUCUGAUGUGAAAGCCCUGGACUCAAUCCAGGAAGUGCAUUAGAUACUGUUAGACUUGAGUACAGGAGAGGAGAACGGAAUUCCUGGUGUAGAGGUGAAAUUCGUAGAUAUCAGGAGGAACAACAGAGGCGAAGGCGGUUCUCUGGACUGUAACUGACGCUGAGGCGCGAAAGCGUGGGGAGCAAACAGGAUUAGAUACCCUGGUAGUCCACGCCGUAAACUAUGGAUGCUAGAUGUCGGAAGUUCUUACCCUUCCGGUGUCGUCGCAAAUGCAUUAAGCAUCCCGCCUGGGGAGUACGGUCGCAAGAUUA
rnacentral:rRNA from 1 species